rnacentral:rRNA from 1 species
UAACACCUGGAAACAGAUGCUAAUACCGGAUAACAAUAGAUGAUGCCUAUCAACUGUUUAAAAGAUGGCUCUGCUAUCACUCUUGGAUGGACCUGCGGUGCAUUAGCUAGUUGGUAGGGUAACGGCCUACCAAGGCGAUGAUGCAUAGCCGAGUUGAGAGACUGAUCGGCCACAUUGGGACUGAGACACGGCCCAAACUCCUACGGGAGGCAGCAGGC